AGAAGGGGAUGGGUUAGGGCUGAUUUCACCCUACAGUGUUUUCAGUCGACCAACGAGGAACUUGUGUACCAAGUUUCAUGAAAAUCGCUCCAACCAUUCGGACGUUAUGCUGGAACAUACAUACAUUGACUAAUAUAGGGAUAUAUAUAUAUAUAUAGAAUAGAAAUAGAUAAGAUGCCAGAAACACGUUCGGAGUGAGAAGGGUCCAGCUGCGGGUCGAAGACUCGGCCUUCCACGCCCCCGACCUUCCACAGUCCGCCCCACGACCGCCCACAGUCCGUAGAAAGAGAAGGAGAAGAGCUGCUGUACAGUUUUUCCAAUUCGAAAAAGAAAAGGAGCUGAAAACAUUUACCGACACGGAACAAUGACACAACAGAACCAGUCACAUUUCUCCAUAAGGACAGAAAAUAUAAAACCAACUUUGAUUACAUUGAUUAAAUAUCAAAACGAGUCCAAGUGCCCUCUUUGUAAAAAGCAAAGAGACUACAGCAUCCUGCUGCCUGCCUUCAGAGUCAUGAAGACCACAGUGUCAAGUAUGCAGGUUUCCAAAGGACCAUUUUGUGGUGUCUCUGUAUUUCAUCCUCAAGGCCUCCUUCAAUUUUAAUGAGCAUACUGUCCCUAGUGGUUUUGAAGUUCCAGAAACGCCUACCUUUCAAAAUCCAGAUAUUUUAAAUGUAUGUUUAUAAUGGUUUGCAUAAACAUUUUUGUAACAUUAAACUCCUUUCAACAACGUGACUCUGCUCAGUCCUCUUUAGAAUGACAUGCUGGUUUUGAGGAAGUGCUGGUGUAGAAUGUCACUUGAGAACUCCAGUCCCAAGGAGUAAAUGACAUUUCAUUUAACAACUUUAAUUUAGUUCUGCUGUAAUGUGGCAAGUAUACGUAGCCAUAUUGUAACUCAAAGACAAAUAGUCAUAAUGCUUACCAUUAUAAACUUAAUGUUUCUUUUUGAAAUCACUGAAGUAACUGCUCACAUCGGACUGAGCGAGCAAACACCCUUCUAAAUGAAGGCCAAGAAUCAAACAAAAAAUUAGAAGGUACAGAAAUAAUGGACAGCCGGGCC